GGAAGAAAGCAGGGGAUCGUAAGACCUUGCGCUUUUGGAGUGGCCGAUGCCUGAUUAGCUAGUUGGUGGGGUAAGAGCCUACCAAGGCGACGAUCAGUAGUUGGUCUGAGAGGACGACCAGCCACACUGGGACUGAGACACGGCCCAGACUCCUACGGGAGGCAGCAGUGGGGAAUUUUGGACAAUGGGCGAAAGCCUGAUCCAGCAAUGCCGCGUGAGUGAAGAAGGCCUUCGGGUUGUAAAGCUCUUUCAGUCGAGAAGAAAAGGUUGCGACUAAUAAUCGCAACUUAUGACGGUAUCGACAGAAGAAGCACCGGCUAACUACGUGCCAGCAGCCGCGGUAAUACGUAGGGUGCGAGCGUUAAUCGGAAUUACUGGGCGUAAAGGGUGCGCAGGCGGCUCUGUAAGUCAGAUGUGAAAUCCCCGGGCUUAACCUGGGAAUUGCGUUUGAAACUAUAAAGCUAGA
rnacentral:rRNA from 1 species